AACGAACGCUGGCGGCAGGCUUAACACAUGCAAGUCGAGCGCCCCGCAAGGGGAGCGGCAGACGGGUGAGUAACGCGUGGGAAUCUACCCAUCUCUACGGAAUAACGCAUGGAAACGUGUGCUAAUACCGUAUACGUCCUUCGGGAGAAAGAUUUAUCGGAGAUGGAUGAGCCCGCGUUGGAUUAGCUAGUUGGUGGGGUAAAGGCCAACCAAGGCGACGACCCAUAGCUGGUCUGAGAGGAUGAUCAGCCACACUGGGACUGAGACACGGCCCAGACUCCUACGGGAGGCAGCAGUGGGGAAUAUUGGACAAUGGGCGCAAGCCUGAUCCAGCCAUGCCGCGUGAGUGAUGAAGGCCCUAGGGUUGUAAAGCUCUUUCACCGGUGAAGAUAAUGACGGUAACCGGAGAAGAAGCCCCGGCUAACUUCGUGCCAGCCGCCGCGGUAAAAC
rnacentral:rRNA from 1 species